rnacentral:rRNA from 1 species
CAACAGGGAUUGCCCUAGUAACGGCGAGUGAAGCGGCAACAGCUCAAAUUUGAAAUCUGGCUCUUUCAGGGUCCGAGUUGUAAUUUGCAGAGGGUGCUUUGGUGUUGGCGGCGGUCUAAGUUCCUUGGAACAGGACAUCGCAGAGGGUGAGAAUCCCGUAUGUGGUCGCCUGCCUUCGCCGUGUAAAGCCCCUUCGACGAGUCGAGUUGUUUGGGAAUGCAGCUCUAAAUGGGAGGUAAAUUUCUUCUAAAGCUAAAUACCGGCCAGAGACCGAUAGCGCACAAGUAGAGUGAUCGAAAGAUGAAAAGCACUUUGGAAAGAGAGUCAAACAGCACGUGAAAUUGUUGAAAGGGAAGCGCUUGCAGCCAGACUUGCCUGUAGUUGCUCACCUGGGCUUUUGCCCGGGGCACUCUUCUGCAGGCAGGCCAGCAUCAGUUUGGGCGGUCGGAUAAAGGCCUCUGUCAUGUAUCUCCCUUCGGGGUUAACUUAUAGGGGAGGUGUAAUGCGACCAGCCCGGACUGAGGUCCGCGCAUCUGCUAGGAUGCUGGCGUAAUGGCUGUAAGCGGCCCGUCUUGAAACACGGACCAAGGAGUCUAACAUCUAUGCGAGUGUUUGGGUGUCAAGCCCGAGCGCGUAAUGAAAGUGAACGGAGGUGGGAACCCUUCGGGGCGCACCAUCGACCGAUCCUGAUGUCUUCGGAUGGAUUUGAGUAAGAGCAUAGCUGUUGGGACCCGAAAGAUGGUGAACUAUGCUUGAAUAGGGUGAAGCCAGAGGAAACUCUGGUGGAGGCUCGCAGCGGUUCUGACGUGCAAAUCGAUCGUCAAAUUUGGGCAUAGGGGCGAAAGACUAA